CGGCAACAGCUCAAAUUUGAAAUCUGGCGCCUUGUGCGCCCGAGUUGUAAUUUGUAGAGGAUGUUUCGGGUGCGGCACCGAUCUAAGUUCCUUGGAACAGGGCGUCAUAGAGGGUGAGAAUCCCGUAUGUGACCGGUCGCCUAUCCCAUGUGAAACUCCUUCGACGAGUCGAGUUGUUUGGGAAUGCAGCUCAAAAUGGGUGGUAUAUUUCAUCUAAAGCUAAAUAUUGGCCAGAGACCGAUAGCGCACAAGUAGAGUGAUCGAAAGAUGAAAAGCACUUUGGAAAGAGAGUUAAAAAGUACGUGAAAUUGUUGAAAGGGAAGCGCUUGCGACCAGACUCGCCCGGGGGUGAUCAACCGUCCUUUUGGGCGGUGCACUUUCCCUCGGGCGGGCCAGCAUCGGUUCGGGCGGCUGGAUAAAGGCUUCGGGAAUGUAGCUCCUCUCGGGGAGUGUUAUAGCCCGGGGUGCAAUGCAGCCAGUCUGGACCGAGGACCGCGCUUUUGCUAGGAUGCUGGCGUAAUGGUCGUCAGCGACCCGUCUUGAAACACGGACCAAGGAGUUAACCACCGGUGCGAGUGUUUGGGUGUCAAACCCGUACGCGUAAUGAAAGUGAACGGAGGUGAGAACCCCUUUCGGGGCGCAUCAUCGACCGAUCCUGAUGUCUUCGGAUGGAUUUGAGUAAGAGCACCGUUGGUUUGACCCGAAAGAUGGUGAUCUUUACGCGGAUAGGGUGAAGCCAGAGGAAACUCUGGUGGAGGCUCGCAGCGGUUCUGACGUGCAAAUCGAUCGUCAAAUCUACGUAAAGGGGCGAAAGACUAAUCGAACCAUCAAACAACUAUAGGUGGCUAUAGAAGAUAACUCUUAACCCUGGGGCGAAGUGCCCCGGGGUGACACUGCCAAAUGCAUGAACGUCUGGAGGUGAAAUACCCUCUCAGGUGAAUAUGCAGCGCCCUCGGGCGUCCACAGACCAAACAGCAGUGGCCUUCUUUCAGGAGAAGG
rnacentral:rRNA from 1 species